rnacentral:snRNA from 1 species
UCCCUUGCGCAGUGGCAAUAUCGUAACCAAUGUAGGUCUCCUGAGGUGCGAUUAUUACUAGUUGAAAACUUUUAAAGGCACCACGGUAGCCGAGCGGGUUAAGAGGCGACACCUGUAAAGCUAAUACGAGUAUGUAUUGUGUAUACUGGGUUCGAUUCCCCGGUCUUAGGCCUUGGAUUUUAUUUAAUGGUUAAUAAAAGAAAUUUAUAGUAAAGUAUGUUUGCU